rnacentral:rRNA from 1 species
UGCAGUCGAACGAUGAAGCUGGAGCUUGCUCCGGCCGAUUAGUGGCGAACGGGUGAGUAACACGUGAGCAAUCUGCCCUUGACUCUGGGAUAACUGCGGGAAACUGUAGCUAAUACCGGAUACUUUCCUCGCUGGGCAUCCAGCGGGGAAGAAAGAAUUUCGGUCAAGGAUGAGCUCGCGGCCUAUCAGCUAGUUGGUGAGGUAAAGGCUCACCAAGGCGACGACGGGUAGCCGGCCUGAGAGGGUGACCGGCCACACUGGAACUGAGACACGGUCCAGACUCCUACGGGAGGCAGCAGUGGGGAAUAUUGCACAAUGGGCGAAAGCCUGAUGCAGCAACGCCGCGUGAGGGAUGAAGGCCUUCGGGUUGUAAACCUCUUUUAGCAGGGAAGAAGCGAAAGUGACGGUACCUGCAGAAAAAGCACCGGCUAACUACGUGCCAGCAGCCGCGGUAAUACGUAGGGUGCAAGCGUUGUCCGGAAUUAUUGGGCGUAAAGAGCUCGUAGGCGGUUUGUCACGUCUGCUGUGAAAAUCCGAGGCUCAACCUCGGACUUGCAGUGGGUACGGGCAGGCUAGAGUGCGGUAGGGGAGAAGGGAAUUCCUGGUGUAGCGGUGGAAUGCGCAGAUAUCAGGAGGAACACCAAUGGCGAAGGCACUUCUCUGGACCGUAACUGACGCUGAGGAGCGAAAGCGUGGGGAGCGAACAGGAUUAGAUACCCUGGUAGUCCACGCCGUAAACGGUGGGUGCUAGCUGUGGGCCACAUUCCACGUGGUCCGUGACGA